rnacentral:rRNA from 1 species
AGUGAACGCUGGCGGUAGGCCUAACACAUGCAAGUCGAACGGCAGCACAGUAAGAGCUUGCUCUUACGGGUGGCGAGUGGCGGACGGGUGCUGAAUACAUCGGAAUCUACUUUUUCGUGGGGGAUAACGUAGGGACACUUACGCUAAUACCGCAUACGACCUACGGGUGAAAGCAUGGGAUCUUCGGACCUUGCGCGAUUGAAUGAGCCGAUGUCGGAUUAGCUAGUUGGCGGGGUAAAGGCCCACCAAGGCGACGAUCCGUAGCUGGUCUGAGAGGAUGAUCAGCCACACUGGAACUGAGACACGGGCCAGACUCCUAAGGGAGGCAGGAGGGGGGAAUAUUGGACAAUGGGGGGAAGCCUGAUCCAGCCAUACCGCGUGGGUGAAGAAGGCCUUCGGGUUGUAAAGCCCUUUUGUUGGGAAAGAAAAGCAGCAGGUUAAUACCCCGCUGUUCUGACGGUACCCAAAGAAUAAGCACCGGCUAACUUCGUG